rnacentral:rRNA from 1 species
UACGGAGGGUGCGAGCGUUAAUCGGAAUCACUGGGCGUAAAGGGCGCGUAGGCGGUUAGGUAAGUCGGAUGUGAAAGCCCUGGGCUUAACCUGGGAAUGGCAUUCGAGACUGUCUAUCUAGAGUCUGGUAGAGGGAAGUGGAAUUUCCGGUGUAGCGGUGAAAUGUGUAGAUAUCGGAAGGAACACCAGUGGCGAAGGCGACUUCCUGGACCAAGACUGACGCUGAGGCGCGAAAGCGUGGGGAUCAAACAGG